rnacentral:rRNA from 1 species
GAUGAACGCUGGCGGCGUGCCUAAUACAUGCAAGUCGAGCGAACAGACGAGGAGCUUGCUCCUCUGACGUUAGCGGCGGACGGGUGAGUAACACGUGGAUAACCUACCUAUCAGACUGGGAUAACUUCGGGAAACCGGAGCUAAUACCGGAUAAUAUAUUGAACCGCAUGGUUCAAUAGUGAAAGACGGCUUUGCUGUCACUUAUAGAUGGAUCCGCGCCGCAUUAGCUAGUUGGUAAGGUAACGGCUUACCAAGGCAACGAUGCGUAGCCGACCUGAGAGGGUGAUCGGCCACACGGGAACUGAGACACGGUCCAGACUCCUACGAGAGGCAGCAGUAGGGAAUCUUCCGCAAUGGGCGGAAGCCUGACAGAGCAACGCCGCGUGAGUGAUGAAGGUCUUCGGAUCGUAAAACUCUGUUAUUAGGGAAGAACAAAUGUGUAAGUAACUAUGCACGUCUUGACGGUACCUAAUCAGAAAGCCACGGCUAACUACGUG